rnacentral:rRNA from 1 species
UACGUAGGGGGCUAGCGUUGUCCGGAUUUAUUGGGCGUAAAGAGCGUGUAGGCGGCCAGGUAGGUCUGGUGUGAAAACUCGAGGCUUAACCUCGAGAUGUCAUCGGAAACCAUUUGGCUAGAGUCCGGAAGAGGAGAGUGGAAUUCCUGGUGUAGCGGUGAAAUGCGCAGAUAUCAGGAAGAAUACCCGUGGCGAAGGCGGCUCUCUGGGACGGUACUGACGCUGAGACGCGAAAGCGUGGGGAGCGAACAGG